rnacentral:rRNA from 1 species
AGUGAACGCUGGCGGUAUGCCUAAUACAUGCAAGUCGAACGGAAGGACAGUAAGAGUUUGCUCUUACGGGUGGCGAGGGGCGGACGGGUGAGGAAUAGAUAGGAAUCUACUUUUACGGGGGGGACAACGGAGGGAAGGAGACACUAAUAGAGAAUACGACGUACGGGUGAAAGCAGGGGAUCAUGGGAGUUUGCGCGACUGAAUGAGACGGUGUCGGAUUAGCUAGUUGGGGGGGUAAGGGAACACCAAGGCGACGAUCCGUAGCUGGUCUGAGAGGAUGAUCGGCCACACUGGAACUGAGACACGGUCCAGACUCCUACGGGAGGCAGCAGUGGGGAAUCUUCCACAAUGGGCGCAAGCCUGAUCCAGCCAUGCCGCGUGAGUGAAGAAGGCCUUCGGGUUGUAAAGCCCUUUUGUUAGGAAAGAACAGCUGCAUGUUAAUACCCCGCUGUUCUGACGGUACCCAAUCAAUAAGCCCCGGCUAACUUCGUG